rnacentral:lncRNA from 1 species
UCUGGAGAGGUCAUCUUAAGCUGAUUUAGUAGGAGCACAAUGAUGCAGAGAAUAGUGGUUCAGGGGAAACUAUUAUCCUGUUCUAGUAGCGUGUGUUCUGCAGAUACAAUAUAUCAAAUAUUAUUCUACAUUGACAUAUUAGUGUUUGAUGCUUGAUCAUUCACAUAGUACAAGUUGCAAAUUAACUCUCUACAGUCUACAAGGCAGUGAAAAUUGAGAUCCUGCCACAGGUUGGGAAGAGAACAAAAAUUGUAAAAUGUGAUUGUAAUACAGGUUAUAAGAUAAGAUCAUACAAAGUUUACAUAUGUGCAUAU